UACGGGGGGGGGCAAGCGUUGUUCGGAAUUACUGGGCGCAAAGGGCUCGUAGGCGGCCAACUAAGUCAGACGUGAAAUCCCUCGGCUUAACCGGGGAACGGCCUCUGAUACUGGCUGGCUGGAGUUCGGGAGAGGGAUGCGGAAUUCCAGGUGUAGCGGUGAAAUGCGUAGAUAUCUGGAGGAACACCGGUGGCGAAGGCGGCAUCCUGGACCGACACUGACGCUGAGGAGCGAAAGCCAGGGGAGCAAACGGG
rnacentral:rRNA from 1 species